AGUUAAUGAACUUGAAAUAAGUAUAUAUUUUGAAAAUAUAAUAAAGAAGUCUAAUCUUCUAUUAACUU
rnacentral:tRNA from 1 species